rnacentral:rRNA from 1 species
UACGUAGGGUGCGAGCGUUAAUCGGAAUUACUGGGCGUAAAGCGUGCGCAGGCGGCUUUGCAAGACAGAUGUGAAAUCCCCGGGCUCAACCUGGGAACUGCAUUUGUGACUGCUAGGCUAGAGUACGGCAGAGGGGGAUGGAAUUCCGCGUGUAGCAGUGAAAUGCGUAGAUAUGCGGAGGAACACCAAUGGCGAAGGCAAUCCCCUGGGCCUGUACUGACGCUCAUGCACGAAAGCGUGGGGAGCAAACAGG